UGAAAUAGUGAAAUCAGUUUGCAACCGGGAAAAACUACAGAAGAACUACUGAAAUCGACGAAGGAUUUCCGCUGCUGCUUGCCUGCUUCCGCUGCUACUGAAAUCGACGAAAGAAAUCGUGUUUCCUGGCCGCUGCUUCCAAGGUAGAAAUCGCGUUUCUACUUUCUAGAUGGGUAUACCUAACGUGUAGUACUGUAUUUUGCAUAAGAAAAAUAAAUGUCGCAUAUUGGACCGCAUAUGCGACCAGGCGGUCGCAUAUGCAGUAUGCGGUCCCAGGCAUCGCCUGGUCGCCUGGCCGCGUUAAAAAGCUUGAUUUUAGGUACCCCCUCUAUCCCAUACAACAAAUAACAUGUCCUCCAUAGUUGACUUUCUAGAUUUAAAUCUAGAUCUAUAUAUCAUACACAAUACGCACAUCCACAACUAUACGUCGUGCCAACUCUGAUAUCAGUAAAGAUCUGCUCUCAUGCUUCCUCCGGUUACGCUCACCCCAAAUUGCCCAUGUGCUUGACCCAAAAAUAGUCCAACACAUGCCCCAUGCAGAUGAUCGUCGUGUUCUCGUGUCUGCCCAGUCCAUAUAUGAUCCGAUCCCUACAUCUGUCAGUGUCAAGAAGUCCCCUAUAUACCUACGGAUCUGUCUCCAUAUAUCUUUGGAAUAACUACAUCCGAAAUAUAUAUGGUCGAAGCUCUCUGGCUCUAUCGUUCACAACCAUCACUGCUUAGGUUGAGGGUACCCCCACCCAAUCAGCUUGUCCUGCAUCGUGAUUUUUCGAAGGCUGGCUCUCUACAUCGUCAUAGCAUACUUAUUGACGUUUGGUGCCCAUAUCCCUACUGCUUUGCCUUCCCUUGGUCUCCUCUCUCUGAUCGUGUCCCACACGUUCUGAAAUGUGAAGCUUGUGCCACUCCAUGUCCAUGUGCAUAUGUAAUCCUCUCCACAAGUCAUGCCCCUACUUAUCUUCUGCCUCUUAUCCAUAAGCUCUAACCAUGCCGGUGAGUCAACUCCACUACGUCUCUGGAUGUCUGCAAGUGCCCUUCCUCUGACAUACCUCUCGCGCAUCCAUCUGACCCAAAUAGAAUCCUCUGCAUUCCAGAUCCUCCACACUCUCUUCAUUACUGAUGCCAUAAUUGUAUCCUCGAAUCGUCUGAAACCAAUUCCACCCUCAACCUUUGGUAACGUCAUUUGGUCCCAACUGACCUCUUUCUUCCUAUCCCAUAAGAAUCUGUAUGUCAGGCUCUGCAACUGAUGAAAUAAUUUUGAGCAUGCAGAUAUAUUUUGUCCAUGUUCUUGAUGAACUCGAACGGUUGGAUAGUCGUUGGCAGUGACUGUCAAAAAAAGAAAUCGUAAUAAUCUUGGAAAUCCCAAAUAAAAUUACGAAAUAGAAAUCAGAGAUAGUGAUCAAACCAAGUACGGAGAUUUUCCAAGAACAUUCAAUCGAGAGAGAGAGUUCUGGUCCAUUCCGGAGUGGUUGUUGGGUUUUGGGUAGAGCUGGGAGUGUGUUUGAGGGACCGUGAGGGAGUGUGGGUGGGGUUGGGGAUUGACAUGAAUGGGGUUGAUGGUGGGAGUGACAAUAAUUGAAACAAUAGCUUUCAUUGUAUUCAUUCUAAUAACAUGACUAUAGGUGUUUAUGAAUAUUACUCUUUCUUCUUGAUCGAUUAUAGUAUUUGGCUACUAAUCUGGCUUUAUAUCUUUCCACAGAUCCAUCUGAUUUUUUCUUAAUUUUAAACACCCAUCUACACCCUACUAAUCUACUAUAUUCAUUGUAGAGUCUUUAGGAACAAGAGUCCAUGUACUAUUCACUUUUAGAGCCUCUAGUUCUUGAUGCAUAGCAGUUCUCCAUUUAGGUUCCUUAUAUUUCUAAGGUUGUAUAUCUCUAGAAAAGUUGGGGGGAAUGGUAGAAAGUAUUAGAGAUAGAAGUCAUAAAGACGUGCUAGCCAAGGGAAUUUGAUCGAAGAUACCAACAAAAUUCUUUAUUCUCCCGUGAAGGGUGAAAUGGAAUCACCUAAACACGUUCAGGAAAUUGAGAAGUUGGAAAGUGCAAGUAUCUCCUGCUUGCCUAUUUCAACUACUCUUAUUUCAGGUUUCUUCUAAUUCCGUUGACUGAACACCUGAAUUUCACCUCCUGGAGAAUAAUGAAUAUUCUAGUUUCCACCCAAUCUAGUCUGGAUAUUAGGUUGGGGGAUCUUACAAAGGCUACGUAAAAAUUCACACACUACUCCCCCCUUGGGGACUACUAUGGAAUGUCAUUGGGUGUUUAUCGUGACAUAUAUGGACAAAAAAAAAGAUACAAACAAAACAUUAGUAGCUAGGCCUCCUGAGGUAGUCCAUAAGGAGAUCAUUAAGGACAUCAGUCUCUCAUUUGAUCUGAAAUGUUAUAAGAAGAGUUGUUGUCACUCUUUGAAGACUUUUAUGAUGAAAGUAUGAAAGACUAACCUCCUGAGAAAGCGUAUCUAAUUACUUUAUAACUAUACUACAUAACUAAUAGGAGAGAGUCAAUGGAUUUCUUGCUCUUUUUUUACUUCUAUUUGUAUUCUCUAUUUUGUAAUUUGGGCAUUGCCCUUCUUUUUAAAGAAAUUUAAUUUUCGAAAAGAAAAGAAAAAUGUAGUGUCAUGUGAUUUUGGCAAGUUUAAAAUAGAUGGCAAGUUAUUUUUAUUCAAGGGAAUUGGAACAGUUAUAACCUGUAUUCCAAGAUUCUUGUAUGCAGUUCUAUUGUAAGGAUUCUUUCCUUUUCCUGAAUUGUAUCUAGAAUUCUUAUAAUUAUUUCUAUUAAAAUUAGAGUAAUUCACCUGAUAGUCCCUUUCAGUUGAUGAAUUAUCCAAUUGUUUCGUGAGAAUCUCUUCCUUUAUCAGCAGAUCAAUAAGUUGACUAAAUGUGAUGUCUUCGUGAAAGUUGAGGGAGGUCCUGAAGAUCCUGAAUUCUGGUCCAAGACCCUUAAGAAUGUACUCAGAGACUCUUUCAUUAGACAUGAGAUAACCUGCAACAAUCAAGGAAUAUUUUACACUUUUAAAUUUAAAAAUGUACCUCAUUGUAAUAUCAACACUUUUGUUCAAAUAGUUCAUCUCAUUUCGCAAAGAUUGGAUCUAGUUCUCGUCAAUUAGCGAUACAUCAGUUUCCAAUAAAUGCCAUGCCUCAAAGGCAGAGGUGCAAGGUAGAAGCAAUGGUUGGAUUUCCUUGUUCAUAACCGCUUUAAUCCAGCUCAAGACAAU
rnacentral:lncRNA from 1 species